AGUUUUGAACUAACUGACGAGGUGAGCGGAUGUCUAGCCGGAAGUCUCGGGAACAUGGGGCAUCUCUUGAUAGUUCCCAUUGUGGAGCAAGGCAAGCAGACUUCCCACUUUCCAGACGGUUCGAAACAUCGAAGCAGGGAACAGGGGAAUCAAAACUGUAGAGUGCCGUUCGAUGAUGAGAGCACUAAUUUUCCUUUCGUUUGUUGGUGACAACACCAGAAUGUCGAAUGCAUGAAGAAUUACGCAGUUUUUCCAAGACGAGCUUCACAAGUAUGUGAGAAGAUGACUCUACCUUCUUGGGAUGUCCACCUUUCCGUCUCUCAAGAAAAAGAACAUUUCCUCCUCCGUAGGAUCACGGACGGCUCAUCCCUGGAAGAAUUCAACGUAUUUACCAUCCUGCCUACAGUGCUACAGCCUCAACCAGACCCCUCUGCAUCGCAGGAAACUUUAAGGACCUCAUCGAACAGUAGGAUAGCGACAAGGUUUCUGGGGUACUACAGAACCGUGGCCGCGUACCCAACCGUACCGGUCGCGGAUGGAGACUUUGUAGAAUGUGUGUAUGUCUACUUCUGAGUAUUGCUGCUAAUGCACUAGAAUACUUGGUGGUUCCGCACGUAAUUAAAUUAUCUUGAAUUUGUUGAAUAACAGAAUGCUUACAAGGUGAUCAGUAAAUUCUUAAAGCAAGCUCAUUUUUCUAAAAUAUAAAGCAUGAAUAUUUUCAAAAACAAAUCUAUCGAUUUCUUGUUUAUGCUAAAUAAUGUACCCUUAACACGGACCUUACGUCUACCGCUGAAAUGAUCCCUUUCGUAGGAGGUUCAUGGCCAAUCAUUUUGUUUUUUGUAACAACUAGAAAUUACUAUCCCUGCAUACAUUCUGCCUCCAUCUAUAAUGAGAUUGGAGUUUUCACCAGCACUGGUUCAGCAAAUUCACUCACUGGCCUGUCUCCGGUUGACGAAACUUUACCAAUCUCCGUAGAUAUUACAGACUACUCUGUGCUGCUACAUUCAUAAAGAGUGUUUUGAAAAUUAGAUACCAAACUAUUGUACGAUCAGCAUUCCACAUUCGUAGCAAGUUCACAUUACUAUCUGGAUCUGAUUUAUUGAGUGUUAGCUUGGUAUGGAGCUACAAAAGUCACGGCUGUAGUAGGCAAUUUGCAGCUAUGCCAAAACGAAUUCUUCUAACAUGCGUGUUUCUGUUUCAGGAAUGUUUUCUAUUUUCAUUGCAAUGUGUAUUGUUAUUGUAUUGGUGUUGGAUUGUGGGGGUAGCUGCAUCUUGUCGGACAGGGAACACAUGGUCCCUAUGUUCAUGUCAAUUUUGUACAAAGUGUUCAAUUUGAAGAUGUGAUUUUGGCAAAGAUUUUUUUUUUAACAAUUUGCUUUUAAGAAGAAUAGAGCAUGAAGAGCUUGCAGCUGUUCUCCAUCUUCAAAAUUUGUUCCCUUUCGAUUGUCAGAUAUUGUCACAUGGGGGGAGGGAGAGGGUACCAGGAUGGCUGGAGUAGUUGCAAGUUCUGUAGAGAUUUCGCUUGAAACAGCCAUAUCCUUUGCCUGAGAAUGGUGAUUGUAUGUGGGAAAUAGAGAACUCUGAAGUUUUAUUCCAAAUCGCAUUGCUACUGAUUCUGGGAAGCUUCUAGAAAUGAACACAUCCUUCGUACAUGCCUCGUAGAGAAGUCUGUAACAGUGGUAUGGAAUUUCCUCACGUGGUCUCUGUUUCGGAUAUGCGUUCUGGAAAUUGCAGGUAUGUCAUAUCCCCCCUUCCAUAUCCUGUGUCUCAACGUGGCAAUGGGGUGAACCUCAUUAUGCAUGUGUUACACGUUACCAUUCAUUGUAGAGAAAGGUACGAAGGGCCAAAAACAAAGUAGAAUUUUUGGAGUGUACGACAAUAUAAUUUCAACAGUUCUGGAGCCUGAUUUGAUGAUACUGGUUCUAUUUCUCAGAUAUCAGAUAUGGCAGACAUGUUCUUUCAUGUAUUUGAACGAUGAAAGUCGGGCGUGAAAUGAGAACUUCUAACAUAUUCACUUUCGGCCUCGUCCGCUGAAAGUUUGAAGGUUAUCCCGUCCAGAUCAGUGUUCCGCAGCACACAAAUGUUUUGUUUGUUCUUCUGAAGAUAUCACUCAAAUACGAAGAAAAUAUAGGUUAUGGAAGCAUGAAAGUGAAAGAAUGCCGUCACGAUAAACUUUAUUUCCGAAUUUAUUAAUUCAAACUCCAGAUUUCAUUUAAAAAUUUCUGUCAUGCAAUUAGGCUCUCAGUACAGAUAUAUAAGACUAAAUGUGUAAGAUUUGAGGCUUAAAAUUUAAUUAAAAUUAAGGUAUAAAUGAGCUACUAGAUGUCUGUAUGAAUAUUAUUACGUAUGGUACAGUCAUCUGACUCUGGCACUUUACAUCACAUUGGCUUCCUGGAUUUCGAUAUAAAAAUAUGAGCUGAGAAAUGUGUACAUCGUUUUUAUGAUAACAUAUUAGAAUUGUGUGUACAUACAUCAAUGAUUGUCAAAUAUAGCACAAGCAGUAACUUGAUUAAAAUCCAAAAUUUUGUAAUAUAUAUUAAUAUAUUCUUUGUUUCUGUGCAUAUGCCAUCGAUAUGAUUUUUAUAUGAACACAACGUUUCGGAGACUAAAAUCUGUAUUCGUCUUCAGGUGGAAUCUACUCAGUUGAGCCCGACCGAUAGGGCUAUUCACUAUCCGGAAACCGACCCCAACACAAAUUAGGGCAUAAAACGUUAGCACAGCAUAAACGAACUGAGCGAGUUAAAACAAAUAUUAAAGCAUAAAAAAAUCCACACAUGAAGCCUAGCACCCACAUUUCACAUAUUUUUCACGUCUUUUCUUGUUAAAAUCGUAAUAUUAUUAAUGAAGAGAAAAAUUCUCUGUAUUCUAUAGAUAAAACCACAAUGUUGACACCUAAUCUACACUGGACGUUGAGUUGUAGUGUUCCGAAUUCAGAUGCGAAAAUGGCAGUCCAGCUGGGAGAUACGUGCAAGUUGGGUUGAAUUUUCGGAUGAUUCACCAGACACAUGUUGUCCGAAUCUCUUAUUCUCAGCCUCAUUUUUCUUUCCUCUUGAAUCAAAUUUUGAUUUGUUAAUGUUGUUACGACUUAUUUGAACUCUGUCACAUUUUCAAAGCAACUGCUAGCUAUGUUUGGGAUUACAGGAAAAUUGUCAAAUAUUUACCUACGUUAUAUUUUCGUGUCUCGUUAAACAUGUGUUCAGCCUAACAAAUUUCGGAAAUGCCCAAAUUCUGUGAGAAUACUCUAGAAUACUUCCCCCUUAACUGACUCGUAGGAAUGCUAGAAGUCUACAAAUUGCUGAUGUUCUGUAAUAUUGUACUCCCAUUUUUAUCUCCAGUAUCUGACGAAUGAAAAAUUCUGAACAUUAGCUGACCAAUGUAGAUUAAGGGUAAAAAAGUUUCUUAUAUUUUUACCAUGCAGAGAAUCUGUUUCUUUAAUGAUGACUUCUAUUCUGAUAACACUCCUUUUUAAAAAAUUAUUACCGCUAAAAUGUGCAUGGAUGCAGAUGCUAGGCCUCGCGUGUGUGGAAUUUUUUCUUAACCCUCGCAGAUGUUCUUCCGUUGUGCGUGGUUUACAUACCCAGUCCUGUGUUCGUGUUUGUACCCGGAGAUAUGUGCUAGAACUCUCGAUUGGGACCAACAGUAGAUUCCAAUUUUAGAGGACACAGAAUUCAGUCUCCUGAACGUUUUGUUUUGAAUAACAGCAAUUCGAUGUGUGCAGCCCAGAAACAAAAUAAUUAUUGAAAUUUAUCUUCUGGUAUGUGCGGUUUUGUAGAGGGGUAUCAAAGUUCACAGGCACAUUGUUAGGAGCAUAAUUAUAUAUCGUAAAUAAACAAAGCGUUGUAUGAGUAAACAUUUUAUUACAAGUAAAGAUUGUAGCUAAUAAA